GCCUCUCUUACCCUACCCCUUUUGACUGUUUUGUUUUACUUUAAAAUUUCUAUUAUUUUUCUUCUAUGAAAGCUUUCUUUCAUCUCUCUCAUACCCUAGAAACUCACUACGUCUGAAAAAGGACUUUUCAUGUAGAAAGGUGCCUCUCUCAGUUAUAAAGUUAUUCCUUUUUAUAAUUUAACCAAUUAAUUGGUGCUGUGGAUUAAACCUAGGACCUCGAGCAUGUAUAACGUAGGAUUCACUUACACAUUUCAGUUGUUGCAGACCAUGCAAAAGGUAAUUUCCGAGUGAAUGCUUAGCAACUAAUGCCUGCGAACUCUUCCCUCAGCUGAGGACUGGAGGGGCAUGAGCAGGAGCAGCGUGGAGGAGGGCUGGACAAGCAGGGUGCAAUAUGCCAUGAAACAGCUGUGUGUGGAGUCCGUAUGGGACACAGCUGGAAGCUACCUUAAUCUACUAGAGGCUCUUGAAUCAAUCAAGUCGACCAUCAACAUCAACUAUGAUGUCAGAUUCCAGGGAAGAC
ensembl:lncRNA